rnacentral:lncRNA from 1 species
UUGUUUUUUUCUGAUUGGUUGUGGUGUUUAUUUAUUGGUGACCUUUUAUUUGUUUUCUUGAUAAUCCUCUAUGUACUUCUUGUGCUUAAGGAUUAUUUGUAUUUUGAUAGUUUAUACCUUUUCUAUUAAUAUAUUAUUUUAUUUUUAAAAAAAUUAGUUCAUUGACUAGUUUUAUAAAUACAACAAAUCAAUCGGUCAACUUAUU